rnacentral:tRNA from 1 species
GGGAAGGUAGCUCAGUGGCAGAGUGCUUGCCUUGAAUGCAUGAGGCCUGGGUUCAAUUCCUCAGCACCA